GACGAACGCUGGCGGCGUGCUUAACACAUGCAAGUCGAACGGAAAGGCCCUGCUUGCAGGGUACUCGAGUGGCGAACGGGUGAGUAACACGUGGGUGAUCUGCCCUGCACUUCGGGAUAAGCCUGGGAAACUGGGUCUAAUACCGGAUAGGAGCCAUUUUUAGUGUGAUGGUUGGAAAGUUUUUUCGGUGUAGGAUGAGCUCGCGGCCUAUCAGCUUGUUGGUGGGGUAAUGCCUACCAAGGCGGCGACGGGUAGCCGGCCUGAGAGGGUGGACGGCCACAUUGGGACUGAGAUACGGCCCAGACUCCUACGGGAGGCAGCAGUGGGGAAUAUUGCACAAUGGGCGCAAGCCUGAUGCAGCGACGCCGCGUGGGGGAUGACGGCCUUCGGGUUGUAAACUCCUUUCGCUAGGGACGAAGCUUUUUGUGACGGUACCUAGAUAAGGAGCACCGGCUAACUACGUG
rnacentral:rRNA from 1 species